rnacentral:rRNA from 1 species
UGCAGUCGAACGAAGCUCUUCGGAGUCUAGUGGCAGACGGGUGAGUAACGCGUGGGAACCUACCUUUAGGUACGGAACAACAGUUGGAAACGACUGCUAAUACCGUAUGUGCCCUAUGGGGGAAAGAUUUAUCGCCUAAGGAUGGGCCCGCGUUGGAUUAGCUAGUUGGUGGGGUAAAGGCCUACCAAGGCGACGAUCCAUAGCUGGUCUGAGAGGAUGAUCAGCCACACUGGGACUGAGACACGGCCCAGACUCCUACGGGAGGCAGCAGUGGGGAAUAUUGGACAAUGGGCGCAAGCCUGAUCCAGCCAUGCCGCGUGAGUGAUGAAGGCCCUAGGGUUGUAAAGCUCUUUCAGCGAGGAGGAUAAUGACGUUACUCGCAGAAUAAGCCCCGGCUAACUUCGUGCCAGCAGCCGCGGUAAUACUAAGGGGGCUAGCGUUGUUCGGAAUCACUGGGCGUAAAGCGCACGUAAGCGGACUUUUAAGUCAGGGGUGAAAUCCCGGGGCUCAACCCCGGAACUGCCUUUGAUACUGGAAGUCUUGAGUCCGAGAGAGGUGAGUGGAACUCCGAGUGUAGAGGUGAAAUUCGUAUAUAUUCGGAAGAACACCAGUGGCGAAUGCGGCUC